rnacentral:rRNA from 1 species
UCCGACGUUGUGAAAUGACUUAUGAGGUGUAGUAUAAGUGGGAGCUUCGGCGCACCUGAAAUACCACUACUCGUAAUGUUGUUUUACUUAUCUCAUGACGUAGCACCCAGCCGUCCUCGCGGGCGCCUGGUUCUGGAUUUAAGUUGACUUGUUCGGCAAGCUACGUGGGAGACAACGUCAGGUGGGGAGUUUGGCUGGGGCGGCACAUCUG